rnacentral:tRNA from 1 species
CAAAAUAUAGCUAAAUCAGUAAAGCACCUCCCUUACACCGAGGAAGUACCCGUGCAACUCGGGUUAUCUUGA